rnacentral:rRNA from 1 species
UACGGAGGAUGCAAGCGUUAUCCGGAAUGAUUGGGCGUAAAGCGUCCGCAGGCGGCAGUUCAAGUCUGCUGUCAAAGACCGGGGCUCAACCUCGGAAAGGCAGUGGAAACUGAACAGCUAGAGUAUGGUAGGGGCAAAGGGAAUUCCUGGUGUAGCGGUGAAAUGCGUAGAGAUCAGGAAGAACAGCGGUGGCGAAGGCGGUUUGCUGGACCAUAACUGACGCUCAGGGACGAAAGCUAGGGGAGCGAACGGG